rnacentral:rRNA from 1 species
AGCAGCCGCGGUAAUUCCAGCUCCAAUAGCGUAUAUUAAAGUUGUUGCAGUUAAAAAGCUCGUAGUUGAAUUUCGGGAUCAGUACGCUGGUCGUGCCUUUGGUAUGUACUGGUGUCACUGAUUCCUCCCUUCUGAAGAACCGUUAUGCCGUUUAUUUGGUGUGGCGGGGAAUCAGGACUGUUACUUUAGAAAAAAUUAGAGUGUUUAGAGCAGGCUCGCGCUUGAAUACAUUAGCGUGGAAUAAUGAAAUAGGACGUUUGAUUCUUAUUUUGUUGGUUUCUAGGAUCGACGUAAUGAUUAAUAGGGAUAGUUAGGGGCAUUUAGUAUUCAAUUGU